AUGGGGGUGUGGCCAGACACUGUGGAUGAAGGUGUGGCCAGGACACUGGGGAUGGGGGUGUGGCCAGGCACUGUGGAUGGAGGUGUGGCCAGGCACUGGGGAUGGGGGUGUGGCCAGGCACUGGGGAUGGGGGUGUGGCCAGGCACUGUGGAUGGAGGUGUGGCCAGACACUGGGGAUGGGGGUGUGGCCAGGCACUGUGGAUGGGGGUGUGGCCAGGCACUAGGGAUGGAGGUGUGGCCAGGCACUGGGGAUGGAGGUGUGGCCAGGGACUGGGGAUUGAGGUGUGAGCAUGCGAGUCUGGGCAGAUGAGAUGGAGUCAUUAUUUGUAAGUCUGUCUGUAAAUUGUUGUUCGUAUGUGUAACUGGUUUGGGGGAAUUAUUUUUGUAUAUAUUUUUUUAUUUAAAAAGUAAUUUCGUAAUGGUUAGGUUGUUAUGAAUGCACUGAUAUAAGUGGGUGUAAGUGGCAUUUAGGCAUCUUUGGUAAAAACACCAACUUAUAUUGUUAAAUAAAGGUUAAAUAAAAAUAAAAUAAAAAUUAUUGAAAAUAUAUAUACCGGAGUUGUGCCUGGAUAUAACCUGUUUUAGCAUGGACAUUGCCAUUGAGGGACUACACCAUAUUAAAGUAGUCAACUGGUGGAGAUUCCUAUGAGUUGGGAGCAAUAAGCCAAUGAAGAAGAAAAUGUACAACUUUAAAAUGGAGAUAGCCUCAAUGGCGCUUCCCAUGCUGUCACAGACAAUAUAAUGGCACAGAUACAAAAGCGAGUCCUCUAUCUCUAUGGUCUGUUGUUCACACACUUAUAUCUUCCCUCUCAUUGGCUAGAAUGGUCCCACCUGAUUAUCGCUUCCUCCCGCAUGCCUUCCAUCUUUGAGGGCAUGUAUUUCCAUUGUUAGAGUGGUCACUUGAGAAAGUAGAAACCUUCCAUCAUCCCAGAGAAGAGUCCCCUAAGCAAGCUGGUCCUGGGGCUCUGUUCACAAACACGAACACACCUAACAGAUCCCCAGGACAGAAACACAAUUAGACCCAACCAAAUCCUGAGAAAACAAAAAGAUAAUUUACUUGACACAUUGGAAAGAAUUUGCAAAAAAACAGAGUAAACUAGAAUGCUAUUUGGCCCUAAACAGAGAGUACACAGUGGCAGAAUACCUGGCCACUGUGACUAACCCAAACUUAAGGAAAGCUUUAACUAUGCACAGACUCAGUGAGCAUAGCCUUGCUAUCGCUGUAGGCAGACCUGGCUCUCAAGAGAAGACAGGCUAUGUGCUCACUGCCCACAAAAUGAGGUGGAAACUGAGCUGCACUUCCUUACCUCCUGCCCAAUGUAUGAUGACCAUAUUAGAGACACAUAUUUCCCUCAGAUUACACAGACCCACAAAUAAUUCAUAUUUAUGUUUAUUUAUUUUCCCUUUUUUACUUUAACUAUUUGCACAUCAUUACAACACUGUAUAUAGACAUAAGAUGACAUUUGAAAAGUCUUUAUUAUUUUGGAACUUCUGUGAGUGUAAUAUGUAGUGUUAACUUUUUAUUGUUUAUUUCACUUUUGUUUAUCUAUUUCUCUUGCUUCGCCAAUGUAAACACAUGUUUCGUCAAUAAAGCCCCUUGAAUUGAAAUGUGUCUGCAGAAGGGAAAAGCCUAGAUGUCCAUGUCAAAUCAAAUCAAACUUUAUGGUUUAUGGCAAUUGUGGUUGGAACAACGUUUUUGGCAUGUCCGACUAGGGCUCCCUGCCAUCCAGGACCUCUAUACCAGGCGGUGUCGGAGGAAGGCCCUAUAAAUUGUCCGUCUCCAGCCACCCAAGCCAUAGACUGAUCUCUUUGCUACAGCACGGCAAGUGGUAAAGGUGCACCAAGUCUGGAACCAACAUGACCCUGAACAGAUUCUACCCCCAAGCCAUAAGACUGCUAAAUAGUUAGUUAAAUAGUUCACCAAAUGGCAACCCAGAUUGUCUGCAUUGACUCAUCACAUACACUGCUGCUACUGUUUACUAUCAGUCGUUUUCCCCCUAGUUAUAUGUACAUAUUUACCUCAAUUACCUAGUACCACUUGUAUCGACUCGGUACUCAUACCUCUUGUAUUUAGCCAAGUUAUCGUUACUCAUUGUGUAUCUAUUAAUACUUUCAUUAUUACUUGUUUUACUUUUCUGUUAUUUC
rnacentral:lncRNA from 1 species